ACACGACUACAUUAGAUACCCGUGUAGUCCUAGCCGUAAACGAUACUCGCUAGGUGUCGGCCACGGUGCGACCGUUGUCGGUGCCGUAGGGAAGCCGUGAAGCGAGCCACCUGGGAAGUACGGCCGCAAGGCUGAAACUUAAAGGAAUUGGCGGGGGAGCACCGCAACGGGAGGAGCGUGCGGUUCAAUUGGAUUCAACGCCGGACAACUCACCAGGAGCGACGGUUACAUGAAGGCCAGGCUGAUGACCUUGCCUGAUUUCCCG
rnacentral:rRNA from 1 species